GACGGGGACCCGCACAAGCAGCGGAGCAUGUGGUUUAAUUCGAAGCAACGCGAAGAACCUUACCAGGUCUUGACAUCCAUCUAAAGCGAUAGAGAUAUCGUGUGAGCUUGCUCGAGAUGAGACAGGUGGUGCAUGGUUGUCGUCAGCUCGUGUCGUGAGAUGUUGGGUUAAGUCCCGCAACGAGCGCAACCCUUAUCGUCCGUUACUAACAGGCAAAGCUGAGGACUCAGACGAGACUGCCGGGGACAACUCGGAGGAAGGUGGGGACGACGUCAAAUCAUCAUGCCCCUUACGACCUGGGCUACACACGUGCUACAAUGGGUACAACAAAGAGAAGCAAAACCGCAAGGCGGAGCAAAACUCAAAAAGUACUCUCAGUUCGGAUUGUGGGCUGCAACCCCGCCCACAUGAAGUUGGAGUUGCUAGUAAUCGCGGAUCAGCAUGCCGCGGUGAAUACGUUCCCGGGUCUUGUACACACCGCCCGUCACACCAUGGGAGUUGGGAGCGCCCGAAGCCAGUGAGCUAACCGUAAGGAGGCAGCUGUCGAAGGUGAGACCAAUGACUGGGGUGAAGUCGUAACAAGGGAGCCGU
rnacentral:rRNA from 1 species